rnacentral:rRNA from 1 species
GAUGAACGCUAGCGGCAGGCCUAAUACAUGCAAGUCGAACGGUAAGGCCCUUUCGGGGGUACACGAGUGGCGGACGGGUGCGUAACGCGUAUGCAACAUGCCUUCCAGCGGGGGAUAUACCAGGGAAACUUGGCGCAAUACCCCAUAGAAUUACGGGACCGCAUGGUCUUGUGAUUAAAACUCCGGUGCUGGGAGAUUGGCAUGCGUGACAUUAGCUAGUUGGCGGGGUAACGGCCCACCAAGGCGUAGAUGGGUAGCUGGUCUGAGAGGAUGAUCAGCCACACUGGAACUGAGACACGGUCCAGACUCCUACGGGAGGCAGCAGUGGGGAAUAUUGCGCAAUGGGCGAAAGCCUGACGCAGCAACGCCGCGUGGGUGAAGAAGGUCUUCGGAUCGUAAAGCCCUGUCAGGAGGACGAACAAAUGACGGUACCUCCAAAGGAAGCACUGGCUAACUCCGUAGCCAGCAGCCGCGGUAAUG